ACCUGGCGUUGGGCCCUGCCCCAUCUUCUUCUUUCCCUGCACGAAACCGAACAUGAUUUCUAGCUCACGCACGCCGCCGCCGCCGCGUCCGAUUUCUUCAGGAGCCCUACUCCGAAUACACCACUUCCCCAAGCCCCAUGUCCUAUAUAUACCCUGGGACCUCCUCUCCCAAUUCCCCUCGAAACCCUUCACCAAAACCCACCGUAUUGUCCGCUAUCGCCGUUCCAAUCUCGCCACAGAAGUUGCAGUUCAUCGCCGGAUUCCGACGCCGGUGAGACAUCCCGAGCCGUGCGGACGACUCGUGCACGACAGCACAUAUCAAGCCGUCCAUGCAUACUAUCCAGCGUAUAUCAGCGGCUGGACUGCCCGUCGUCCUAGUGUCGUGCACACAUGCAUCGUCUACGUAGCAGUUUCGAAUUUUGCACCUGUACGACUGUACUACUACCAUCGAAAAUCUUAUGCUUACGAGAUGGUUUCACGGAAGUGGGCUACGGGAUGUACGUGUCCCAUCCUUAUUAAUCCACUCUCCCGUGAAAUUCGCGAUGUGAGACUUCGUUAUGUCCUACUCCUACUACCAUUCAUCCCUUUCCCCAUUCUCAUUCUUCUCCCAUUCCUUUCUCUCUGUUCCUUACCUAAUCUAAGGAUUCGUCCACAAUUCGUUGCUAGAUCCUGCCAAGAAAAGAGGACGGGGGGAAGUGGGAUUUGGGGCAGAGUGCGGUGGCUGCAGCCUGCAAGCUCCCGGCGGCGGCACGUCGUCUAGCUCGACCACACGUGCCUGCUGCUCGCUGCCGUCGUCGAUUUGAUGGACAUGGAUUUGGGUCCACUUGAACCUGAGCGGUGGCACUCCUCCAGUGUAGAAAUUUUCUGUUGGAGAGAAGGAUUUUGCGCCCCAAAGCAGCAAGGCUGCGAGGCAAAGCGGUUUCGUUUCCCUGAGUGGCGUUGCUCUCCUAUUUGUGGCACUGGCUGAGAGCUAGGAUAUAAUUUAUAGUUAUGUGACUUGCCAUUAAGGAUCCAUUAAGGACAUUUCAAAUCUGAAGCAUCCAUUAAGGAUCCAACGGCUCUAACUUCAUUUUUCUAUUCUUCUAUCCUAUGGCCAGUUUCUAUUGUAGUCUUCCCCACCAUAUAUUAGCAAUUUAUAUUAACAGUAGCUCUAUUUAAGACAAAGGAAGAAUGCUUGCAUGUAUUAACUGAAUUUGGCCCAUAUAUGUUAAUUGAUAUGCAAUAGAUUUUAGAUUUUUCACAUGUGUUGUUUUUCGACAAAUUCACAUGUGUUGUAGGAGAUGCCUCUAAUACUAAAGCUUUUCUCAUUGUUCUCUUCAAUCGAAAAGGCUGUAGAAUAGAAGGGUUAUUUCCAAGAACAUUAAACUCACAAAAGUGCAUGUAUGAAUGUAUUUCGAAUAAUUACAAUUUGACAUGCUUCUCAUAGUGCUAACUUUUGACCCUUAUCUAAUAACUGUCCCCCUUAUACUGAUCGAUGUCAAGCAUUAUUUCUCUAUCUCAGUAAACAUAAAUGGUUUGCUUGGUGCUAAUCAGAUCUUGCCAUCCAAUAAGCUUAGCAAUUUUUACAUACCACUGUUAUUAGUGCAGAGUAAAUAUAAUAUGGAAGUUCUCAAUCAAAUUAGCAGAAUAUGCUUACCAGGUGUAGAUAUGUACCACAAUUUUUGCAGUAACACCUUCCAUUUCCCUUUGUACGUAGUUAGUUUGUGUCAACCGGAAUUUGAUCAUUUGAAUAUUUUCGUGUAAUAGAUUAUUAUACCUAUUGUUGUGAAAAACAAAAUCCUAAAAUAAUCACCCAAAAAAUUAAAGUUAGCAUCCCGAAGAAGUUGACAGACAAAUAAUUCAGAUAUGAUUCCAUUAUAACUGAUAUGACUCAAUUAUCUGAAAAGCACUGCAGGUCUGAGAGUGUCGUUUUCCUCAAGAAGUGGUGAUAUCAUAUCUUAGAAGAAGUUUGAUCCAUCACCUGAUGUGUCUGGUUUUUGUGCCUCAUUCCAGUGAGAGGCAGCUCAGAAGACCUUUGCUGACUUCAUCUGGCAUUGAGAUGCAGUCACAUCGGAGUUUUGGCGUUUUUUAUAUUUUUCUAGCAUCACAGAGCCGACAAUCUUUGAUUUUGUUGGUGGUGCUCUAGUCGGAUAGUAGAGUUGUUCUGUAGUCUUUGAUUUUGUUGGUGGUGCUCUAGCCGGGUAGCAGAUUCUGGAAGACUUCAAUUUUCUCGGUGGUGCUCUGAUUGGGUAGCAGAUUUACACACAUCAAUUU